rnacentral:rRNA from 1 species
GAUGAACGCUCGCUACAGGCUUAACACAUGCAAGUCGCGGGGCAGCAUGGGGGUUGCUUGCCACCCCUGAUGGCGACCGGCGCACGGGUGAGUAACGCGUAUCCAACCUGCCCUUCACCCCGGGAUAACCCGGCGAAAGUCGGACUAAUACCGUAUGUUUUCCCUUGACGGCUUCCGAUUUGGACGAAAGGCUUGGCUGUGAUAGGAUGGGGAUGCGUCCGAUUAGCUUGACGGCAGGGUCACGGCCCACCGAGGCGACGAUCGGUAGGGGUUCUGAGAGGAAGGUACCCCAGAAUGGAAAUGAGACACAGACGAGACUGGUAGGGGAGGGAGGAGAGAGGAAGAGAAGGGAAGGGGGGUAAGCCUGAACAAGCCAAGUAGAGUGCAGAAGGACGGCGGUAUGGGUGGUAAACUGCUUUUAAGGGAGGAUAAAGUGGCAAACGGGUGGGGUUUUGAAGGUACCGGAUGAAUAAGGACCGGCUAAUUACGUG